rnacentral:rRNA from 1 species
GACGAACGCUGGCGGCGUGCCUAAUACAUGCAAGUUGAGCGCUGAAGGUUGGUACUUGUACCGACUGGAUGAGCAGCGAACGGGUGAGUAACGCGUGGGGAAUCUGCCUUUGAGCGGGGGACAACAUUUGGAAACGAAUGCUAAUACCGCAUAAAAACUUUAAACACAAGUUUUAAGUUUGAAAGAUGCAAUUGCAUUACUCAAAGAUGAUCCCGCGUUGUAUUAGCUAGUUGGUGAGGUAAAGGCUCACCAAGGCGAUGAUACAUAGCCGACCUGAGAGGGUGAUCGGCCACAUUGGGACUGAGACACGGCCCAAACUCCUACGGGAGGCAGCAGUAGGGAAUCUUCGGCAAUGGACGAAAGUCUGACCGAGCAACGCCGCGUGAGUGAAGAAGGUUUUCGGAUCGUAAAACUCUGUUGGUAGAGAAGAACGUUGGUGAGAGUGGAAAGCUCAUCAAGUGACGGUAACUACCCAGAAAGGGACGGCUAACUACGUG